UAAAUACACAUCUAUGUUGUUAUAUAACCAUUACCAUUAUCCACUGUCAAAACUUUAUCGUACUAAGCAGAAGUUAAGUCCCAGACCAUAUGACCUUCCCACCUCUGCCUCCCAAGUGCUGGGAUUAAAGACAUGCAAUAGCUGUGCUUGGAAAAUUUGAACAUUUUUUUUCUUAUUAGCAUGUAUGAAUUGUGCAUAAUAAUGGUCCCAUUGUGACAUUGGCUGAACCAUUUCCAGUAACUAUGCGUAUCUGUUCUAGAUGCCUUGGGCAAGUGGCUGUGUGGAGGUCUUGCUUACUCUGCCUAACAUAAUGUCGUUGUCCUAGUUUGCUCUCUGUUGCUGUGAUCAAACACUCGCAAAAGCUACCUGGGGGAAGAGAAAAGGGUUUGUCAUAGACCGCAGUCCACCGUUGAGAGGAUUCAAGGGAAGAACCUAGAACUGAAGCAGAGCAGUACUGCUUCCUGGCAGGCUCCCCCGGCUUUCUCAGCUACCCUUCUUACACGGCCCGGGCCCAUCUUCCUAGGGAUGGCUGUCUUCUUCCCAUUGGAAAGAGGGUGAUGGUUCUCAGCACAGGAACAAANGGGCUGCAUGGCCCAGCGAUCUGGACAAAGGCCAAAAAGCCAAAGACUGUUGAAGCCGCAGUCUCCACUCUUCUACUGACGCCAGCGACCACCCAGCCCAGCCAGGCCAUAUGGCCUCCUGCUUGCCUGAUGUAUGAGCCAUGCCCACGGCCACCUGCCAACACAGUUUUCUACAGCGUCCCCUCUAAAGUUCCCGUGACUGCAGAGUGCCAUGGGACACCUUGGUUCAGUGGCAUAGAGGGCAAAUGAAAUCCACAGAAAGACAACUCAGUGGUUCUCAGCACACCCUGGCAUCCCAAAAAUCACACUCCAGACACCUGAAGAACCUGCAGGCAUUCCCGGCCGGGACAGGUCCCUGUGCCACUUUGAGGUCUCCAGGCCAUCUCCUACCU
ensembl:lncRNA